AAUAAGGGUGAAAUAAUAAAGGCCACAAGAAGAAGAGCGCCAAUUUGAUUGAGAUAAGGUUUUUCUUGUUUGCUCCCUUAUUGUAUAACAUAACAAGAAGCAACCCAAUCCUGUGGCUCUCUCUCUCAAUCCCUUCAACUAAGUGAGAGCAAGCAAAAGGGAGAAGAGAAGUGCGUUACUCUUCAAGAAACUAAAAAAAUCGUAUCCUCUUUUUUGCAGUAAAGAAUCUUUGAAUUGAGUUCAAGGCAAAGUAUCUUAUUUUUUUCUUCCUUUAAACCCUAAUAAACAUCUAAUCGAAGAAAACAAAGAGAGGAAAGCGAUGACUACUCUUCAAGCUUCUCUUAUCUUCAAGCCUUUACCUUCUCCUCUUUUCCAUUUUUCUUCUUCCAAACCCUUUUACUCCCUUCGUUUAUCCACAACAACUGCGUUUACUUCUUUAAAGCCUCGUUUUUGCCGCCACAAUUUACUCCUUCACUGUACAUUGACUCCUGAAAAUGUCAGUUCUGAUUUUGCCUUAUCCAAUAAUAAUGAUAAUGAAAUUGAACCCCAAGAAUUCAAUAAACCCCAAGAAUUCAAUGAGCCCUCCUCCUUUGGUGAGAGCAGUAGUUCAAUUGAAGAAGCGAGUAAUGUUGUGGAAUCUGAGGUAUUGGUGGAGGAGAAUGGGGAAAUGAAGAGGAAGUUGCCUAUAGUGGUUUUCUUGAUGGGGUUAUUUGCUAAGGUCAAGAAUGGGUUUGAGAAGAUUUUGCUGUCUGAUUGGUUUAGUUGGUGGCCCUUUUGGCAGCAAGAGAAGCGUCUCGAUAGAUUGAUUGCUGAUGCUGAUGCUAAUCCUAAGGACACAGCUCUGCAGAGUGCUUUGCUUGUUGAACUCAACAAGCACAGCCCUGAGUCUGUCAUUCGGCGCUUUGAGCAGAGAGCUCAUGCUGUAGACAGUAGAGGAGUCGCAGAAUAUUUACGAGCUCUUGUGGUGACAAAUGCUAUUGCCGAAUAUCUACCUGAUGAGCAAUCCGGAAAGCCUUCUAGUCUUCCUUCACUGUUGCAAGAAUUGAAGCAGCGGGCAUCAGGGAACAUGGAUGAGCCGUUUCUCAAUCCUGGCAUUUCCGAGAAGCAGCCAUUGCAUGUUGUGAUGGUUGAUCCUAAAGUUUCAAGCAGAUCAUCACGUUUUGCGCAAGAGUUUCUCUCAACUAUCAUAUUCACUAUUGCCAUUGGCUUGGUCUGGAUAAUGGGUGCUACUGCACUUCAGAAAUAUAUUGGUGGCUUAGGUGGGAUUGGAGCUUCUGGUGUCGGUUCAAGCUCAUCCUAUGCCCCGAAAGAGUUGAAUAAAGAAAUAAUGCCUGAGAAGAAUGUCAAAACGUUUAAGGAUGUCAAAGGUUGUGAUGAUGCUAAGCAAGAGCUUGAGGAGGUUGUUGAGUACCUCAAAAAUCCUGCUAAGUUCACUCGGCUUGGGGGAAAGUUGCCGAAGGGCAUUCUUUUGACUGGAGCUCCUGGAACAGGAAAAACCCUCCUUGCCAAGGCUAUCGCUGGAGAAGCAGGGGUGCCUUUCUUCUAUAAGGCAGGCUCUGAAUUUGAAGAAAUGUUUGUGGGAGUUGGUGCUCGACGUGUUAGAUCUUUGUUUCAAGCUGCUAAGAAGAAGGCUCCAUGCAUCAUAUUUAUUGAUGAAAUUGAUGCUGUUGGAUCAACUCGAAAGCAGUGGGAAGGUCAUACUAAGAAAACACUGCAUCAGUUACUUGUUGAGAUGGAUGGUUUUGAGCAAAAUGAGGGAAUAAUAUUGAUGGCUGCGACCAACUUGCCUGAUAUACUUGAUCCUGCCUUGACAAGACCCGGUAGAUUUGAUAGGCAUAUUGUAGUUCCAAACCCAGAUGUGCGGGGCCGUCAAGAGAUCUUAGAGCUUUAUUUGCAAGACAAACCAGUUGGUGAUGAUGUCGAUGUGAAAGCGAUUGCUCGUGGAACACCAGGAUUCAAUGGAGCAGAUUUGGCAAACCUUGUGAAUAUUGCUGCCAUUAAGGCUGCUGUUGAAGGUGCUGAGAAGCUAAAUGCAUCACAGUUGGAGUUUGCAAAAGAUAGAAUAAUAAUGGGAACAGAACGCAAAACCAUGUUCCUGUCAGAAGAUUCAAAGAAGCUAACUGCAUAUCACGAGAGUGGCCAUGCAAUUGUUGCCUUGAAUACUGAAGGUGCACAUCCAAUCCAUAAAGCUACAAUCAUGCCACGUGGAUCUGCUUUGGGAAUGGUUACACAGCUUCCUUCAAAUGAUGAGACAUCAAUCAGCAAAAAGCAGUUGUUAGCACGGCUUGAUGUUUGUAUGGGAGGAAGAGUAGCUGAGGAGCUGAUCUUUGGUCAAGACAAUGUAACUACCGGGGCUACUAGUGACCUUCACACAGCUACAGAACUUGCUCAAUACAUGGUUUCCUAAGAAAUUACCUAAACGAUAAUAGGGUGUUGGGAAGAAAAGAUUGUCCUAUGCAAAAUUAUCAGACAGAUCAACUAAAUCUGUGCACUAAAAUAACAUAAAGAUAACAAGGUUGGGAUCUCACUCAUAGAAGACAAUUGAAUGACUGGGAGAUAACAAGAUUAGCUGAUCUUUACAAGGAGCUGGAAGCAUUUAAAGGAACACAGGAAGGGGUGGAUUCACUUUGGUGGCAGACGCACAAUAGUGGGGUCUAUAUGGUGAAGGAUGCAUAUAAGAUUUUGAAUCAAAAUGAUCUUCAGAUUGGCCAUGGAAGCAUAUAUGGAGAAUAAAGGUUCCCUAUAAGGUAGCAUGUUUCUCCUAGCUACUAGCAAAGGAGGCUGUCUUAACACAGGAUAAUCUCAUAAAGAGAGGAAUCUCUUUGUGUUCAAGAUGUUAUCUAUGUGGGGAAAAUGCUGAGACGGUUAGCCAUUUAUUCCUACAAUGCAAGAUAACAGACCAUCUGUGGAAAAUUUUUAUUAGUCUCAGGGGUAUUUUUUGGACAAUGCCAUACAGGAUUAAUGAAGUUCUUUUUAGUUGGGAGGAAGCGGGAGUUCAAGCGAAUAACAGAGACAGAUGGAGGAUGGUCCCAGCAUGUAUCUGGUGGUUUGGAAGGAAAGGAAUGCUAGAUGUUUUGAAGACAGAAGCAAGUAUCGUCCUGUGGGAUGAGUGAUGCAAUUGGACCUGUUCACAUCAAAGAGCGGCCAAGUGCUGAAAUGCAAUCACGUAUUGACGCGGAG